rnacentral:tRNA from 1 species
CCAUAUGUGGCAUAGUGGUUUGAGUAUUGGACUAUGACUCUGGAGACCUGGGUUCAAUUCCCAGCUAUCCA